UUCACAUAAAAAGUGGCAUUAACGUUUGACAAAUUUUUAAGAUCAUAUUAUUCACCUUAAAAAGAUGAAUUCCUUGAAAAAAUUAAUAAUAGUAAGCGAAAAACAAUUUUGAUUGAGUGUCAUUUAUUUGGAGAAAAGCAGACAAAGCUUUACCUUAAUGGCUUCCCCAAGCACAAAGUAGUAGAACACAAAUUUUCUAUUCAAAGAUUGAGGUGUCAUCCCUUCAAAGUCAUCUGCAGCUACAUUUGAACAAAGAAAGGAGUUGUUAUUUAGUCAGUGCUCAUCUGAUGCAUGAUAAGGUUUUAAAUUCUUGCCCUAAUUUCUUUAGUCACAGGAGGUUUCAAACUUGCAUAAAAUUACAUUUACAUAUAUAUAUAUUUUAAGAUAUGUAAUGUAAUGUAAUGUAUUACUUUCCUGUGACGGGGAAUCAGCAGCUGGCUCUACUACCUCUGCAACUUGCUGCUGAUAACCUCAAGUUGGUGAUGGACAAGAGGCAAGUUGGGGUUCCUUUGUUUGGCCUUUGUAUCUGCCACUGUCCUUCGCUUGUCCCUCUUUUGCCAUCUUGUUGCAAUUUCUUGUGAUGCAUUAUUUCUGCUUGGUACCAGGAAAUGGGGAUGGUCUGCAACUUGUGCUGCAAGUGGGAAUGGCUGGCUUCACUGGUUCCUAUCACCCUCUAAUUUAUGGAUUGAGCCCCCUACUCCUCGUGUACAUCAAUCACUUUCAAAGCCUUUUCUCAGAAUUGACCACACAGUGGGUCAGGUUAAAUGGUGGGUGGGUUUACAGGAAUGAAUCAAUCAAUGAAUGAAUGAAUAGUGAAUAAUACAAAGUGAAAAGGGUAGUGGCUUGUUGGUCUAAAGGUGAAGUAACAUACCCUUCUUUCAUUGGUGGUACAACGGUCAC
rnacentral:lncRNA from 1 species